rnacentral:rRNA from 1 species
GUGGGGAAUCUUGCGCAAUGGGCGAAAGCCUGACGCAGCAACGCCGCGUGCGGGAAGAAGGCUCUCGGGUUGUAAACCGCUUUCAGUAGGAACGAAAAUGACGGUACCUGCAGAAGAAGGUGCGGCCAACUACGUGCCAGCAGCCGCGGUGACACGUAGGCACCAAGCGUUGUCCGGAUUUAUUGGGCGUAAAGAGCUCGUAGGCGGUUCAGUAAGUCGGGUGUGAAAACUCUGGGCUCAACCCAGAGACGCCACUCGAUACUGCUGUGACUUGAGUACGGUAGGGGAGCGGGGAAUUCCUGGUGUAGCGGUGAAAUGCGCAGAUAUCAGGAGGAACACCGGUGGCGAAGGCGCCGCUCUGGGCCGAAACUGACGCUGAGGAGCGAAAGCGUGGGUAGCAAACAGGAUUAGAAACCCGGGUAGUCC